GGCGAUGACAAUAUGGUGAUGACUACGUGACAGUGACAACAUGGCGAUGACGACAAUAUGGCGGCGACGACAACAUGGCGGUGACGAUGUGACAGUGACAACAUGGCGGCAAUGACGUGACGGUGACAACAUGGCAAUGACAAUAUGGCAACGACAACGUGACAGUGACAACAUGGCGGUGACGAGAUGACAGUGACAAUGUGAUGGUGACAACAUGGCGGUGACGAUGUGACGGUGACAACAUGGCGGUGUUGAUGUGACAGUGAUGAUGGUGACAACGUGACAGUGACGGUGUGACGGUGACAACAUGGCGGAGAUGAUGUGACAGUGACAGUGUGACGGUGACAACAUGGCGGAGAUGAUGUGAUGGUGAUGAUGGUGACAACGUGACAGUGACGGUGUGACGGUGACAACAUGGCGGCGAUGAUGUGACAGUGACAACAUGGCGGCGACGAGAUGACAGUGACAAUGUGACAGUGACAACAUGGCGAUGAUGUGACGGUGACGACGGUGACAACGUGACAGUGACGGUGUGACGGUGACAACAUGGCGGUGACGACACGACAGUGACACCAUGACAGUAAUGGCGUGACGAUGACAACAUGGCGGUGACAGUGUGAUGGUGAUGACGUGAUGGUGACAACGUGGCAAUGAUGAUGUGACGGUGACAACAUGGCGGUGACGACGCGACAGUGACACCAUGACUAAUGGCAUGACCAUGACAACAUGGCGGUGACAACAUGGCGGCGGCGACAACAUGGCGGUGAUGAUGUAACGGUGACAACGUGACAGCGACGACGUGAUGGUGACACCGUGGUGGCGCUGACGGUGACGGUGUGACGGUGACAACAUGGCGGUGACAACAUGGCGGCGGCGACAACAUGGCGGUGAUGAUGUAACGGUGACAACGUGACGGUGACGGUGUGAUGGUGACAACAUGGCGGCGAUGGCGGCCGAGGGCUGAAGGAGUGCGGUGUCUUCUUGGGGUGGCGGUGGGAGGGGACGAUUGUGUUCGCGGUGUUGUACCCCAAAUUGGGAGGGGAACAACGUACCCCAAAAAGGGCUCUGGGGACCCCAUUUCCUUCGGUUGUACCCCCAAAAAGUGCUUUGGGAACCCCAUUGCCUUCAGUUGUACCCCCAAAAAGUGCUUUGGGAACCCCAUUGCCUUCAGUUGUACCCCCAAAAAGUGCUUUGGGAACCCCAUUGCCUUCAGUUGUACCCCAAAAAGGGUGCUAAGGACCCCAAUUCCUUCGGUUGUACCCCCAAAAAGGGCUCUGGGGACCCCAUUUCCUUCGGUUGUACCCCCAAAAAGUGCUCUGGGGACCCCAUUUCCUUUGGUUGUACCCCCAAAAAAGGGGUCUCGGGACCCCAUUGCCUUCAGUUGUGCCCCAAAAAGGGGGCUAAGGACCCCAUUGCCUGUGACUGUAUCCCAAAAAGUGCUCUGGGGACCCCAUUUCCUUCGGUUGUACCCCCAAAAAGUGCUUUGGGAACCCCAUUGCCUUCAGUUGUACCCCAAAAAGGGUGCUAAGGACCCCAAUUCCUUCGGUUGUACCCCCAAAAAGGGCUCUGGGGACCCCAUUGCCUUCGGUUGUGCCCCCAAAAAGUGCUUUGGGAACCCCAUUGCCUUCAGUUGUACCCCCAAAAAGUGCUUUGGGAACCCCAUUGCCUUCAGUUGUACCCCAAAAAGGGUGCUAAGGACCCCAAUUCCUUCGGUUGUACCCCCAAAAAGGGCUCUGGGGACCCCAUUGCCUUCGGUUGUACCCCCAAAAAGUGCUUUGGGAACCCCAUUGCCUUCAGUUGUACCCCAAAAAGGGUGCUAAGGACCCCAUUUCCUUCGGUUGUACCCCAAAAAGGGCUCUGGGGACCCCAUUUCCUUUGGUUGUACCCCCAAAAAAGGGGUCUUGGGACCCCAUUUUUAUCAGUUGUGCCCCAAAAAGGGUGCUAAGGACCCCAUUGCCUGUGACUGUAUCCCAAAAAGUGCUCUGGGGACCCCAAUUCCUUCGGUUGUACCCCCAAAAAGGGGUCUGAGGACCCCAUUUCCUUCAGUUGUACCCAAGAAGUGGUGUGGGGACCCCAUUGCCUUCGGUUGUACCCCAAAAAGUGCUUUGGGAACUCCAUUUUUAUCAGUUGUACCCCAAAAAGGGGUCUGGGGACCCCAAUUCCUUCGGUUGUACCCCCAAAAAGGGGUCUGGGGACCCCAUUUCCUUUGGUUGUACCCCAAAAAGGGCUCUGGGGACCCCAUUUCCUUUGGUUGUACCCCCAAAAAAGGGGUCUCGGGACCCCAUUGCCUUCAGUUGUGCCCCAAAAAGGGGGCUAAGGACCCCAUUGCCUGUGACUGUAUCCCAAAAAGUGCUCUGGGGACCCCAAUUCCUUCGGUUGUACCCCAAAAAGGGGUCUGAGGACCCCAUUUCCUUCAGUUGUACCCAAGAAGUGGUCUGAGGACCCAUUUCUCAUGACUGUACCCCAAAAAGUGGUCAGGGGACCCCAUUUCUCAUGACUGUACCCCAAAAAGGGGUCUGGGGACCCCAUUUCCUUCGGUUGUACCCCAAAAAGGGGUCUGAGGACCCCAUUUCCUUCAGUUGUACCCCAAGAAGUGAUCUGGGGAUCCCAUUUCUCAUGGCUGUACCCCAAAAAGGGGCCUGGGGGCCUCAUUUCCUUUGAUUGUAUCCCAAAAAGUGCUCUGGGGACCCCAAUUCCUUCGGUUGUAUCCCAAAAAGGGGUCUGAGGACCCCAUUUCCUUCAGUUGUACCCAAGAAGUGGUGUGGGGACCCCAAUUCCUUCGGUUGUACCCCAAAAAGUGCUUUGGGAACUCCAUUUUUAUCAGUUGUACCCCAAAAAGGGGCCUGGGGACCCCAUUUCCUUCGGUUGUACCCCCAAAAAGGGCUCUGGGGACCCCAUUUUCAUCAGUUGUACCCCAAAAAGUGCUCUGGGGACCCAAUUUCCUUUGGUUGUACCCCCAAAAAAGCACACUCUCCCCAUUUAUAUCCCCCAAAAAAGAGAGGAGACCCCAACAUUUUCUCACUUGUAUCACUGAACACAAUUAUGGGACCCCAAUUUCCCUCAGUUUUACCCCAAAAUGAUUUCAGGAACCCCCUUUUCCCCAUUUUUACCCCCAAAUUUGAGCUUGGGGACCUCCUUUCCCCUCAGUUUUAUCCCAAAAAAUGAGUCCCUUUUCCCUCAGUUUCACCCCAAAAUGAACCACGGAACCCAAUUUUCCCCCAUUUACACCCAAAAAUGGAUUAGGGAUCCAAAAAUGAGGACCCAGGACCUCGUUUUGUUCAUUUAUACCCCGAAACGGACAUGGAAACACUCCCCCCCCCCCCCCCCCCCAUUUACACCCCAAAAAAUGAAUGGAGGUCCCCAAUUUUCCCUCAGUUUUACCCCUAAAAUGUUGUGGGGAACUCAAUUUUCCCAUUUCUAUCCCCAAAAAUCGGAGCAGUGAACCGUUUUUUCCCCCAUUUAUACCCCAAAAAUGAACACUUCGUCUCAAUUUUCCUUUUCUUUUGCUCCCAGAUGUGAUCGAGGGACCCUUUUUCCCUCAGUUUUGCCCCAAAACGAAACGGGAAAACCCAAUUUCCCCUCAUCUAUACCCCGAAAAUGAACAUUUUGUUCCACUUUUCCAUCAUUUUUUUGCCCCCAAAACGUCCCGGACCCCCCGAUUUUUCCUCACACCCCCAAGAAAUGGAACAACACCGUUCAUUUCCUCUCGGUUUUACCCCAAAAUUUCCCCCAUUUCCCACAUUUUUACUGAAAAAAAAUGGUAAUGGGACCACUUUUACUCUCAGUUUUACACAGAAAGUUGUACCCGGGACCCCCUUUUACCUCAUUUACAUCCCCCAAAAUGAACGAAGGAUCCUAUUUUCCCCUCAUUUAUACACCAAAACGUAGGGAGGAGUCCCCAUUUCCCCUUCCUUCGUGCCACAAACACAAACCGCACACCCAUUUUUCCUCACUUUUACCCCAAAACGGAACGCGGACUCCAUUUCCCAUCGGCGCCCACAAAAUGGCACUGCCCACAAAAUGGCGCCGACACCGCCCACAAAAUGGCGCCCCCACUUCCGCCUCGCCCACUUCCGUCAGUGCGCACGCGCGCUGCGCAGCGCUCCACCCCCUUCUGCUGCGCAAUGGUUCGCCCCGCGCAUGCGCACUGCGCGCGUUCACCCGACCGGGACGUACCAUUGUGAGGGGGCGCGGGGGGGGGCAGGGGGCUGGGGGGGGGGUCCGCUGCCUGGCCAUGCUGCGGCGCAUUUUGGGGGGUCCUCGGGGACCCCCGGCGCUGCCCCCCCGCCCCGCAUCCCGCUCAGCUGCCGACCAGCACCCCCCAGACCUGGCACGGGAACGCUCCAAAACUGUCACCUCCUUCUACAACCAACCGGCCAUUGACGCCGCCGCCGAGAAGCCGUCGGUCCGCCUGACGCCCACCACCAUGCUGUACUCGGGGCGGUCGCAGGACGGGAGCCACAUCCUGAAGAGCGCCCGUUACCUGCAGCAGGAGCUGCCCGUCCGCAUCGCCCACCGCAUCAAAGGCUUCCGCAGCCUCCCCUUCAUCAUCGGCUGCAACCCCACCAUCCUCCACGUGCAUGAGCUCUACAUUCGCGCCUUCCAGAAGCUCAUCGAUUUCCCACCCAUCCAGGCUGUGGGUGACGAGGCGCAGUACUGCUCGCUGCUGCGCCAGCUGCUGGACGACCACAAGGACGUGGUGACGCUGCUGGCCGAGGGGCUGCGCGAGUGCCGGAGGCACAUCCAGGAUGAGCGGCUGUUGCGUCCCUUCCUGGACAAGACGUUGACCUCCCGCCUGGGCAUGCGUAUGUUGGCGUCCCAUCACCUGGCCCUACACGAGGACAAGCCCGACUUCGUGGGCAUCAUCUGCACCCGGCUGUCACCCAAAAAGAUCAUCGAGAAGUGGGUCGACUUCGCACGGUGAGCCCAUAGGGGUCGGCUGUAGGGCUCCUUGUGGGGUUCUGUGGGUCCCCGUGGAGCCCUAUGGGGCCGUAGGGGGGCUUUUAUGGGGCUCAAACCCAUAGGGUGUUGGUGGUGUCCGUAGGGUUUAAGUGGCGUCCUUGUAGGGUCCUUGUAAGGUGUCCCUAUGGGUCUUGGGGUGUCCCUAUGGGUUUUGGGGUCUUCUCUGUAGGUCUGGGGGUGUCCCUAUGGGUCUUGGGGUGUCCUUAUGGGUCUUGGGGUGUCCCUAUGGGGCUGUGGGGAGCCCAUGGAGAGCUUUUAUGGGGCUGUGAGGGGUGUCCUUGUAGGGUGUCCUUAUGGGUCUCGAUGGCGUGUCCCUAUGGGUCUUGGGGUGUCCCUAUGGGUCUUGGGGGCCUCCCUAUGGGUCUUGGGGUGUCCCUAUGGGUUUUGGGGUCUUCUCUGUAGGUCUGGGGGUGUCCCUAUGGGUCUUGGGGUGUCCCUAUGGGGCUGAAGGGGGGCUUUUAUGGGGCUCAAACCCAUAGGGUGUUGGUGGCAUCCAUAGGGUUUUAGGGGUCCUUGUAGGGUCCUUUUAAGGUGUCCCUAUGGGUCUUGGCGUGUCCCUAUGGGUUUUGGGAUGUCCCUAUGGGUCUUGGAGGCCUCCCUAUGGGUCUUGGGGUGUCCCUAUGGGUUUUGGGGUCUUCUCUGUAGGUCUCUGGGUGUCCCUAUGGGUCUUGGGGUAUCCCUGUGGGUUUUGAGGUAUCCCUGUGGGUUUUGGGGUCUCCCCUAUAAGCCUCUUAGCGUCCCUAUGGGGCUGCAGAGCUUCUCAGAGGGCUCGUAUGGGGUUGGGACGCGACGUGGGUGGGCGUUGGGCUGCCAGCAUUUGUCCCUAUAGAUCUUGGGGCGAUCCUAUGGGGUUGCGGUGCUCCUCGGAGUGCCCGUAUGGGAUCGGGGUCUUAAUGGGGUGAUGGAGGUGACACCGGGAUCCAAUGGCUGCUCCUAUAGAUCUUGGGGUGAUCCUAUGGGGUCUUGGUGCUUCUCAGAGGGCUCGUAUGGGGUUGGGCCGUGACGUGGGUGGGUGUUGGGCUGACCACAGUUGUCCCUAUAGAUCUUGGGGUGUCCCUAUGGGUCUUGGGGUGUCCCUGUGGGUUUUGGGGUCUCCCCUAUAACUCUCAUGAGCAUCCCUAUGGGGUCGCAGUGCUUCUCAGAGGGCUUUUAUGGGGUUGGUGUCUUAAUGGGGGUGGUGGAGGUGACACCGGGUGCCAAUGGCUGUCCCUAUAGAUCUUGGGGUGUGCCUAUGGGUCUUGGGGUAUCACUGUGGGUUUUGGGGUCUCCCCUAUAAGCCUCUCAGCGUCCCUAUGGGGCUGCGGAGCUUCUCAGAGGGCUCGUAUGGGGUUGGGACGGGAGAUGGGUGGGUCUUGGGCUGCCAGCAUUUGUUCCUAUAGAUCUUGGGGUGAUCCUAUGGGGCCGCGGUGCUUCUCAGGGGGCUCGUAUGGGGUCGGGGUCUUAAUGGGGUGAUGGAGGUGACACCGGGAUCCAAUGGCUGCUCCUAUAGAUCUUGGGGUGUCCCUAUGGGUCUUGGGGUAUUGCUGUUUUGUGGUCUCCCCUAUAACUCCCUGAGCAUCCCUAUGGGGCUGUGGAGCUUCUCAGAGGGCUCGUAUGGGGUUGGGACGCGAUAUGGGUGGGCGUUGGGCUGCCAGCAUUUGUCCCUAUAGAUCUUGGGGUGAUCCUAUGGGUUUUGGGGUCUUCCCAAUAGGGCUGUGAGCGUCCCUAUGGGGCUGCGGAGCUUCUCAGAGGGCUCGUAUGGGGUUGGGACGCGACGUGGGUGGGCGUUGGGCUGCCAGCAUUUGUCCCUAUAGAUCUUGGGGUGAUCCUAUGGGGUUGCGGUGCUCCUCAGAGUGCCCGUAUGGGGUCGGGGUCUUAAUGGGGUGAUGGAGGUGACACCGGGAUCCAAUGGCUGCUCCUAUAGAUCUUGGGGUGAUCCUAUGGGGCCACGGUGCUCCUCAGAGUGCCCGUAUGGGGUCGGGAUGCGAUGUGGGUGGGUGUUGGGCUGUCCACAGUUGUCCCUAUAGAUCUUGGGGUGUCCCUAUGGGUCUUGGGAUAUCCCUGUGGGUUUUGGGGUCUCCCCUAUAACUCUCAUGAGCAUCCCUAUGGGGUCGCAUUGCUUCUCAGAGGGCUUUUAUGGGGUUGGGGUCUUAAUGGGGGUGGUGGAGGUGACACCGGGUGCCAAUGGCUGUCCCUAUAGAUCUUGGGGUGUCCCUAUGGGUCUUGGGGUAUCCCUGUGGGUUUUGGGGUCUCCCCUAUAACUCUCUGAGCAUCCCUAUGGGGCUGCGGAGCUUCUCAGAGGGCUCAUAUGGGGUUGGGCCGUGACGUGGGUGGGUGUUGGGCUGACCACAGUUGUCCCUAUAGAUCUUGGGGUGUCCCUAUGGGUCUUGGGGUGUCCCUGUGGGUUUUGGGGUCUUCCCAAUAGGGCUGUGAGCGUCCCUAUGGGGCUGUGGAGCUUCUCAGAGGGCUCGUAUGGGGUUGGGACGCGACAUGGGUUGGUGUUGGGCUGCCAGCAUUUGUCCCUAUAGAUCUUGGGGCGAUCCUAUGGGGUUGCGGUGUUCCUCAGAGUGCCCGUAUGGGGUCGGGGUCUUAAUGGGGUGAUGGAGGUGACACCGGGAUCCAAUGGCUGCUCCUAUAGAUCUUGGGGUGAUCCUAUGGGGCCACGGUGCUCCUCAGAGUGCCCGUAUGGGGUCGGGAUGCGAUGUGGGUGGGUGUUGGGCUGUCCACAGUUGUCCCUAUAGAUCUUGGGGUGUCCCUAUGGGUCUUGGGAUAUCCCUGUGGGUUUUGGGGUCUCCCCUAUAACUCUCAUGAGCAUCCCUAUGGGGUCGCAUUGCUUCUCAGAGGGCUUUUAUGGGGUUGGUGUCUUAAUGGGGGUGGUGGAGGUGACACCGGGUGCCAAUGGCUGUCCCUAUAGAUCUCGGGGUG